UACGUAGGGGGCAAGCGUUGUCCGGAUUUAUUGGGCGUAAAGAGCGUGUAGGCGGUUUGGUAGGUCCGCUGUGAAAACUCGAGCUCAACCUCGAGACGCCGGUGGAAACCAUCAGACUAGAGUCCGGAAGAGGAGAGUGGAAUUCCUGGUGUAGCGGUGAAAUGCGCAGAUAUCAGGAGGAACACCCGCUGGCGGAAAGGCGGCUCUCUGGGACGGUACUGACGCUGAGACGCGAAAGCGUGGGGAGCAAACAGG
rnacentral:rRNA from 1 species